rnacentral:rRNA from 1 species
UACGUAGGGUGCGAGCGUUAAUCGGAAUUACUGGGCGUAAAGCGUGCGCAGGCGGUUUUGUAAGCCAGAUGUGAAAUCCCCGGGCUUAACCUGGGAAUGGCAUUUGGGACUGCAAGGCUUGAGUGCGGCAGAGGAGACGUGGAAUUCCUGGUGUAGCAGUGAAAUGGCGUAGAGUAUCAGGAGGAACACCGAUGGCGAAG